rnacentral:sRNA from 1 species
CCAGAACCAGCAGCAAAAAGAUUUAAAUCUGACUCCUGUGGAAAAUUUUUGCGAAGAAGCCCAGUUGAUGAGGACUUUGUAUCUUAUGUUCCAUACAUUUGGAAGUUCCAUAAUACAUCUCGAUCUCGCCGACAGAAAGCAACACCUGUUCCAGAUAAAUGUAGUCAGGACUCUCAGGAACCUGAAAGUGAGAACAAGAGCUCUGUUUGUAAACCAGAAAAAAUAGACCACAGGAAAACCACCUGGAUGAAUGGGUUCAUGAUGUUCAGUAGAUACAACCGCAAGAAAUUCAUUGAGGCUAACCCUGGGGUACACACCUCUCACAUCAGUAAAAUCCUGGGCCACACCUGGAGGAACAUGUCAGCUGAGGACCAGAAACCAUACAAGGAUGAGGCCAAACUGUAUGCCAAAGAAAUGAGGAGUGAUAACUUAACAUGUCAAGAAAACAAUGGGAAUGUGGAGCUGUCCAGCCCAGCAAAAACAGAAUGAGACCAUGGCCCAUUAUAAAGAGCUGCCUUUUCAUUAAAAUGGUUCAAGAAACCCCACGGGUGGUUGUGAAAAUUUCACCAUCAACAAAAUGCAACAUUGCAUAAUGAAUGGGAUACUUUACUGAUACACGAUAUUAUAUUCUUAUAUCUCAGUAUACAUUUUUAAAACUGUAGUGUCUGAUAUGUUAGGGUGGUUGAAUGCAGUGUACAUUACUUAUGUAGAAGUAGCAAUGUGUUACCUGUCAUGGACCCUGGUGGGUAUAAAGACUGAUUUUAUUUUUUAUACUUUUUUUAUUACAGGUUGAUACGUUGUUACAGACAUUAUUUGUUUCCUAUUACUUUGAAUUGUUAUUGUUUUAUUUUUAUUACCAGUCCACAUUGUUAUUCAAUCAUGUUGCCAAGAUGUCAUGCGGAUAUAUGUUUUAAAACUUGGAACAUUUUAAUAAAACAUGUUGAG